GCACAAAUAGAGCUAGCUUUAAGUUUCUUUAAACGAAGUCGAUUUGUAAUACAUAUUUUUAGCUUCAUUUGCAGAAACCACUUAUGAAAAGUUACAACAGGAUUGGGACGCAGACGAGAAGUUGUACAAAUACAGGGAACAAAUCAAAAGGGUGAUAAAAUAUCAGCCCAUAGACGAUAGGGAGUUCAUGUUGAUAGAUACUUGAUGGUGAUCAUGGGGUACUAUAUAUGCCUGGCACACCUAUUGUGCAAGUCGCAAGGUCUCUGGUUAGCCCCAGGCUGAAUGCAAUUCGCGUACCUUGUUCUAUCGCAAAUUGGCGGUGGCUGUAAUACGCGGCGAGUAACAUAUCUCUGCUGGGGAACAGCGAGAACAUUGCCAAACUGAGAAUCCACAAGGAAUUCUUGGUCGUCGGCUACAGUACUGCCGACCGUGGAAUUGUCCCAAUCCCAGCUAACGCUGGCAUUGACACUUUGAAUACUAGUUGCGCUGAGGAGAACUGUCGUGAUAAGCAGCAGCCAUGCCACCACUGGGAAGAUGCACAGGCUCUUUGAUGCUGAUUUCUCCAUCUCUCCCUGCUAUCUCUUGCUCUCUUGGAGACCUGAAUAGCUUUCUCUAUUUGUACUAAUAGACCUCGUACCUAGUUUACUUGAUAAUCGUAUUAAUGAACGUAUGGUUGUAGUUGGGACUGAGUUAAUUACUUUAAUUAGAGCUCCUCCAUGUUAGGUGGCCGUCCUAGUUUCUCAAGACUCUUUAUUUUUUUUUCGUUUCUUUCUUCGAAAAAAAAAAAAUUAAAUAAAGUGUUUCAUGAAACAAUUAUUAUAUUUUAAUUAGAGAAAAUCGUUCAAAACGUUUCUCACAUUUUACAAGAUGACUUUUUUCGUCACUUACUUUUAAAAGUGUAAUUUUAUGUCCCUUACAAAUUCAUAUUGACCAAAUAUGGUCCCUACCUAGGUUUCCGACUAGUUUUUCACCGGAAUCCACCACGUGACUUGCAUGUGAUCAUUUUUUAAGGGUAAAAUUGUCAAAUCAAAUUUUUACAUAACCUGAUUCAUAGUCCCUCACAUUUCACAAAAUGAAUUUUUUCCUCCCUAACAUUUUACAAAAUGAGUUAUUUCAUUCCUCACAUUUGAAAAAAUGAAUUUUUCCAUCUCUCAUAUUUUUCAAAAUGAAUUUUUUCAUCUCUCAUUGAUCAUGUAUACGAAUAACUUUUUUUCUAUAAACCCACGUAUAUAUCUAUUUGAUUUUACCUAAACAGUAUGAAUAACAUGUAAUUUAUCUCUAUUGGAUUCCAUCUAAACAUGCUAAUCGUAGUUAUACACAUGCUAUUCAAUAGAUAUAUAUAUAUGAGUUUAAAAUUAAUAAUUUUGUUUGAAACCCAUGUAUAUAUUUAUAUGAUUUCACCAUUUGAACCUAUUCAAUAUUUGUGACAUUUCUCUUUUGGUAAUAAUUUAUUUAUUAAGUUGUAUAAUAAGAUCAUCUAAUUAAUGGGUCCUAACUCGAAUUCUAUAAUUAUGCUAACAAAUUUCAAUUUAAAUCUGAAAUUUCUACUCGACACUUUUAAGAUCAACAAUUGAAUUACUUGCCUUGUGAUUUUGUUAAAAUUUGAAAGUGCCAAUCAGUUAUUUCUUUUUGUCAUAGUUUUCUUUUGUUUACUUUUUCUAUCCAAAUUUAAUUCGAUAUAAACACUCGAUAAUAUUUAGGAUUAAAUGUCUUCUUUAUUUUCAAAUUUCGAGUAAAAGAAAAUAAAUAUAAGUGAAAAACUAACAAUUUUUUAAACCCAUGUAUAUAUUUAUUUGAUUUCACUUGAACAAUACGAAUAGUGUGUAAUAUAUCUCUAUUUGAUUUCACAUACUAUUCAUAAUGUUCAGUGAAAUCAAAUAAAUAUAUACAUGGAUUUUAAAAAAAAUUAUUCACACACAUGAGCAAUCAAAGAUAAAAAAAAUUCAUUUUAAAAAUGUGAAAGAUGAAAAAAUUCAUUUUGUGAAAUGUUAGGGACGAAAAAAUUUAUGUUAUGAAAUGUGAGAGAUUAUGAAUCGAAUUAUAUAACAUUUGAUUUGACAAAUUUGCCCUUAAAAUAUGAUCAUGUGCAAGGCACCUGAUGAAUUCCAACAAAAAAACUAGUCGAAAAUCUAAGUAGGGACCAAAUUUAACAAAUGUGAAUUUGUAAGGGCCGUAAAAUUACAUUUUUAAAAGCGAGGGACGCAAAAAAUUAUUUUAUAAAAUGUGAUGGACGUUUUGGACGGUUUUCCUUUUUAAUUAUAUUUCAGCCAUGCCAUGUUACAUGGGACACUUUCUUCUGCCGACGAUCGUGAUCGCGACCCCAACACUUACUUCUUACUUCUGUUCGGAAUGAUACUCUUCGUGACUGAUAAAGAGAGUGGUAAGGAGGGAAGGCAUUAAAGGGGAUGAAGAAGAAUGUACAACUUCUACUGCUACAGCAACCUUGUUGAUUGCAGAAUCCAUGGCACAAAAAAAGCCACACUAAUGCUUCUUGAUUCAUGGGAGAAUUUAAUGCUUGGGCAUGCCAAUUACACCAACUACAGAUUAACCACAGCCAAGACCGAAUCAAUGAAAGAGAAAGACGUAUUGUUAAAUAUGGACAAAUCAUAAUGAGUGCAAAACUAUUUUAAUUAGAAAAUUAUGAGAAUUUAGAGCAUCAUUUGAGGCAUCGAGUUGAAAUAUUUCUCUUUGUGUAAUAAAAAUGACAUCAAUAAAGUUGAUAGUCAUGAUCGCCAAUUCAAAUAACGCAUGUUAUUUUGCGUUUAUUUUUGAUAAUGUUCUGCAAAUCUAUGUAUAAAUUACUAUGUUAUAAAUAGGAAUAUAAAUUACAAGUCAAGGAUUAAGGCAGUAAGGAUUCUGGAUAUUGACCUCGACUUGUUUUCGGUUUUCGAUGGUGGCAAAAGUAACUCUUAAUUUAUAUCCAAAUUUUGAAGUAAUUCAUUUUUAUGCUCAGUCCAUCCAGAAUUUAGUAGGGAAUUAUUGGUAAGAGGAGAGGUCAAUACGAUGAAGGGAGAGGUGAGGAGAAAGCUGACACUGGAGGAUGGCGAAGAGUUGAGCAGUAAUUUUUUUGGGGUCACGUAUAAAUUAGCAACGCUAAAGGGACUCUUUGUAAUGUUCCAAAAACACCUGGCAAUGGAUGACCGUGAAUGUGAAUAUUACGAUGUUUAUUAUUUAUUAUUUAGGUAGGAGUCUACGUGGAUGAUUUAUUUAUUUUUUCCAACAAUCGGUAACAAGAUUUAUAUUAACACUUGAAAAUACAAAAGUUAAUUACAAAAAGAGGCAACUGCCCUCAAGAUUUAUAUUAACACGAUUUAUUUGGAUGAUAUAUUUAAGAUAAUUACUAUAAUACUUUUUGUGAUACGAUGUAUAUGACAUAAAAAAAUGAUUGAAAAAAUAAAAAUAUGAUCGAAAUUUAUGAAGUAAAUUAUUUUAUCUCAAAUCAUCUCAAUCCAAACACACUUAGUGUGUGUGUGAUCUAAGUAUGACUGAUAGAUUUAUAUUUAGGAAAAUAGCACCAUCACGGUCCAUAACUUGAUUUUGAGUUACAGAAGCCUUACAGCCGUGCGAUCACUUUAAAAUAAAGUGUGUACUAGCUUGUCCAGUUAUAUAAGCAAAGCAUAUCAAUUUAUAUACUCCCCUCCAUAGUUCCAAAUUUUGCCAAUAGCCCUCAGGCUCCUUGCCUCGUCAAUCUCCUGUAUUCAUAUGGAACCUUAAUCAGCUCCUCCGCCUUGUAUUCAGGGGUGGGCGCAGGUAGGUACCUGUCUCGUCUACCAGUAGGCUGAUCUAAUCUGCACCUUGCGGGUCAGCUAUUUUCUGACCUUUAUCCGCCUUCCAAUCCUAGCAGGAAAGGGAUACUCAAUUUAAAUUGAGUAAACAGAAUUCCAUAUUCGAUCUCAUAAAUACAUAUAGAAUUUUGCGGAAAGCCGUAUUCGAUGAAAGUCGUAUGUACGGCUUGAAGGGAGAUCUUUCAUAUCUUUCGAGAUCCACCCUACAAUAUGGGGUAAAAAAGCCAAAAUAAGUGAUUUUAGUCCUUAUAAAAAGAAAACUGAUUCUUGAACCCCUUCACGCUCAUGUCACGUCCCUUUCAAAGAGGUAAGAUCCGGUGAAUCGGAAACAAUUAAUUAAUAAAUUAAGAAAUGAAAACUUCAUUCUCGAAUCUACGAGAAUUUUUAUGAAAGCCUUUCAUUUGCUUCUCUUCGAUGGAAGUUUGAUUUUCCCAGAAUGUAUCCUAAUUUUUGGCCUAAUUCUUCUUCUAAUGAUCGAUUCAUCCUCGGAUCAAAAAGAUAUACCUUGGUUAUAUUUCAUCUCUUCAACAAGUUUAGUAAUGAGCAUAACGGCCCUAUUGUUCCGAUGGAGAGAAGAACCUAUGAUUAGCUUUUCGGAAAAUUUCCAAACGAACAAUUUCAACGAAAUCUUUCAAUUUCUUAUGAAAUCUUCGAUUUUUCCUCUUCUUCUAUCCCUAUCCCAUAGGUACAAUGUUUGAAUCAAUAGAGAAUCUUUUCUUCUGUAUGAAUCCUUAUUAUUCCAUUCCAAUUCUUUCACGAUACCUCCCAAGGAAAAUCUCGAAUUGGAUCCCAAAUUGACGGGUUAGUGUGAGCUUAUCCAUGCGGUUAUGCACUCUUCGAAUAGGAAUCCGUUUUCUGAAAGAUCCUGGCUUUCGUACUUUGGUGGGUCUCCGAGAUCCUUUCGAUGACCUAUGAUGAAGGGAUCAGCGGGUUCCCAAUUAUAGGGUACCCAUUGAAAUAAAGUCGGAUCAACGGAUACUCUUUCCGCCCUCCUUAUUAUUUAUUUUUUUAAAAAAAGAUUUAUACUAAUUUAAUUUUGUAUUUUACAUAUUCAUCUAAAAUUUAAUAAAGAUUUUUUUUCAAAAAAAGUCUCCCACUAAGAAACAAGCAUGCGAAGAGAAUACAAGAAAAAGGAAAAAAAUUAAAAGAAUUCAAAAUCAAUAAAAAUUUGAAAUAAGUAGCACAUUUUUUUAAAUAUAUGUUCCACAUUAAUUAAACUCUUUUCUAUAAAACAUAAGAUCAUGACUUCUGCAAAUAAAUCUUGUAAAUAAACUACAGUUUCUUAUAUUUGUAAUACAAUUUGUUCAAUAAAAUUGUUUAUUUAGCUUUAAAAAUAUUAUUUUAUAGCAUGUGUAUAAAAAUAAAAAAUAAUUUAUAUAUAUAUGUGUGUGUGUGUGGCGGAUCGAGUACCCGCGAAUUUUUAAUUAUGUGAUUGUAACCCACCCUACAUCUUAGCGGGUACCCAACCCUCUUUUGAUUCAAUCAAAUAAUACAGAUCGAAUAUCCUAAUUUUCGGAUCGGGUCGAAUCAAGUAUGUCGGGUUUUCGAGUUUGCGGGUAAUUUUGCCCACCUUACUUGUAUGAACAAAGGCUCCUAUCGUCUGUCAUGACUUCUGUGACAUUUUUUGCUUUCACAAAUCACGAUUAGUAAAAGAAAAGUUCAAAAUCUCACAAAUCAAUAUACUUUCUUCUGCCGACCAUCGGGAUCAGGACCCCAACAUUUACGUCCUAUUUCUGUUCGGAAUGAUACUUUCUGUGCCUGAUAAAGACACUGGUAAGGAGGGAAGCCAUUAAAGGGGAUGAAGAAGAAUGUACAACUUCUACUGUUACAGCAACGUAUUUUUGUGUCAGAAUCCCUGGCACAAAAAAAUAUAUACCUAAAAUAUAUUUUUGUGUGAUAAAAUAUACCUAAAAGAAUUACAAUCAUAAGGUAGACAAGAAAAUGAAUGUAGAGAUUGAAAGCUCGUACAGAUGUGCCCAAGCCUCAACUAAAACCGAUUUUGACCAACUACACUGUCCUCUCGUUUGGUACAUACAUCGGAAUGUCUCGAAUGAAAAGGUCGUUCCACCUAGAAUACCUUUCCAGUCAAAAUGAUACGGAAAAAAAAUUUUUGUAUUCCAAUAUUUGUAUUACACAUAUAUAUACAACUAAACUUAACAGUCACGUACAGAUACAAAAUUCAUAAGUUUGAAGAUCAUGCAAAAGCCAUAGGAUAAACGUCAUGUCCUGAAACUUACAAAGAAAUGACAUUUACUUUUUAUUUUUUAUCUUACAAGUAAGAAACAAGCUUUUAUCUAAUUUGCUUCAUGCCAUGACGAAAAUCAAAAGUUGAUCAAGCUCAAAAGACAAUAUGAUUUUUUAUGUUAGCCAACUAAAUGAUUGGAUCUUGCUAAAGGUUAAAAAUGUAAAUAACCACCAUAUUAAUGCUGUUGGCUGGCCAAAAAAAAAAUUGACCAGGGAGGUCCCUGCAAUUUUAAAAUAAAGAAGAGAAGUCUGUGACAUUUAUCAAAACUAUAUGGGAGGUCAGUGCAAUUUACCCAAAAUAUAAUAAAAGGUUGUUAGCAUGUAACACUUUUAGUGAACAGACUCCUGAUUUAGGGAAGAAGAAGUUACUUUUUUUUUUUUUAUUUCAGACUUCACAUUGGUAUUUCUUCAAGAGGCAAUUCGCAUGUACCAAAAGAGAUUUUAUCAACCCUAGAUAAGAUAACAAUUUUAAUAUAAUUUUCCUCAUGGCAAAAAACAACCACCAGUAAGGUACUUUAGUACUCUAAGUUUGCUCAGUUAGACUUAACAUACCUUUUAUUUAUGUUCAAGCUUGCUUAGUUAGGCUUAAUAGACCUUUAUAUGUAUGAAUAUGAAGUGUACUAUUAGAUCUUUAGCAGGGUGGUUUGCUAUGUUGCAGCCGAUUGAAAAAGCGACUCGAACCACCCACCUGUUUGGCUAGACGAUUUAAUCCCCACCCCUUAAUGGUAUCAAAAGUGUUCAUACCCAUAGUUGAUGUUCGGUACACUUCAAUGAUAAUCAAUCAAUUAUUAUCAGAAAAAUUCAAAAGCAGGCAAUGGUCAUUACGGAUCAAAUUGUGGAAAUCAACUCAUUGAUGACUUUGAGACAAACUAUAAGGAAAAAAUAGAAAAAAAAUCUCAUUGACCUCAUGAGACCAGCGGCAAACACAUAAAGCUCAUAUGUGCUUCAACGAGAUUCGAAUUCGUGAUCUUCAGAUCAUGAGGCCAACAUGGCUACCAACUAUGACCCAACAAAGCUCGAAUUCACGACCUUCGGAUCAUAAGACCAACAUUGCAACCAACUCAAGUACGAGUCCUUAACAUCUCGAAUACUAUUAUGGUAAGUAUAAAUAUUAUAUAAAAAUUUUAAUUAUUUUUCUUUUAUCAUUCAAUUAUGUCUAACUUGGGGGUUGCUAUAUUGCCCAUCUAAGCUUCCUACCCAUGCUCCAAAUAAAAGCCAACCCUUUUGCUACAUAGUUAGGCAAAUGGAGAAAGUUUAAAAAAAUAUAUAUAUAGAAGUGAAAGAUACGGAGUUAAAAUUCUUCACGCAGCUUGACUCUCAAAAAUAUAAGGAGGCUGUCAUUCAAUUCAAGCAACAUAAAUUUUGCCAUUUUAGUGCCAGGGCUAGCAUCAUUUCGAAAGAUUAUUCAGCAACAUAGAUUCUGUUUGCUAAAACCACAUUCAUAGUUCUUUGUCUUUUUUCAUGGCUACUUUGGUAUUAUGGCCGCCUAUUCAGUUUUGUUGUGAUUCCUUAAAGUGGAACCGGUGUAUAUAUUUUGAGUAAAUCUUUCCUACACUGACGGUGUAUACACUAUCAUCGUUGGAUUCAUGACAUGUGUACAAAAGUUGAAUUUCAAUUUUAAAUUUUGCAUAGUUGUCAUUCAUCCAACGCUAAUAGUGUAUACACUGUCAGUGUAGUGUAGAAAAGAUUAAUCCAUAUAUUUUUAGCUAAGAUAUCAACAGCUUUCCUCAGAUAAUGAUUUCAAGACAAAUAUCUUUAUUUGUGUGAUUUGUGUGUAUAAGAUAGUAGUAAUUCUAUAGCUUUGAACAUAUCCUGAUUUGGUUUUUUAGUCCCCUAUAAAUUUUUUUUUUAGUUUACAGGUGUAAAAAUAUUGAUUUACUAUGUCAAAGGAUGUCAGGUCUGUAUCUACAAAUUCAUUGGUCAAUCUAGCCCAUGUACAGUUUUAACUUUAUGAAACUUGAGAUGUGGUUGAUUAUGAUAAUUCAAGAGAAAAAAUGAUUUGAUCUAAUUCAAUUGGAGCAAUAUCGUCUUAUCGAUGUUUCCUUGAAAGACAAAAGACAAAUUUUAAAGAACAUCCUUCUAUAUCGAGUACAUAUACCUUAUUGGGAUUUGAAAACUCUUAUAAGUUUAUUGUCUACUUUAAUAUGACUUUCAAUAAUUUUUAAUCCUCAUCCACAUGUCAUAUGCAAGAAGAACAAGAAGAAAAUCUUAUUACAAGUCGGGGAUCGAUCAGUUACAGUUGAUGAUGUUAUUAAAAUAAACUUCUUAAUUUGCAUUAUGUAAUUCACACAUUGGAUACACUAGACAUGGGCUUCCACUAGCUUUAAUAAUUUAAACAAAAACACCGCAUUCACAUUUAAAAAAAAUUCCCAAAUCUAUGUAACCUUACUUUGUUAAUGGGUCCAAAAAUUUCAACCCAAAUAAUCUCAAUGCCAAACUCGCAAGGCCAAUACCCAAAUAAUCCAUUUCCAUAGUUUAUAACCGACUUCUUUCUUGUCACUAUUUAUUUGAAAAUUUUUGUUUCAGGAAUAUGCGGAAAUAAGUAUAUUCUAUAAAGUUUCUACAUGCCAACUGCAUAGUUUGUAAUAUUAUGUACUAUACUGUAAAUGUUCUUAGCAUUGUACACUUAUUUCCAAUGAAAUUUACCAAAAAUAAGAAAGAUGGUUUAGAUUGAUCAAAAAAAUCUAAAAACGAAAUCAUCAAAAUAUCCUCUUAUUUUAUAAAAUAUUAACAUAAAUCACAAAUUUUAGAACUCCAAUUAACACUCCAGAGAAAUUAGUAUUAGUAAUUUUAGUAAAUUCCUCCAACAUUUCUUCUUGUGACCCUCAGCAAAUCUAUGGCGAAUUUUUGUGAAAAAUUUUACCCAUGUAACUAUUGCUCUACCAUAGCAAUACCUAUGAAACCAUACUUCUUCUCUUCCUUGUAAAUACAUGCAUGCAAUUACUGAUUUUUUCAUCUUUUACCCCGUGUAUCUGAAGAUAAUUGUUAGUUUUUCGGACCCAUUCCCUAGGACCAUCACCUUCAAUCAAAGAGAAAUUAGCUUUUGGAAUUUGAUUAGUUAUUUUCUUUUCUGAUUUACCCUCUUGCUCUUUUCAAUUGUCUCCUUCAUUCUUCAUGAGUAUGAGCUAUGAAUCCUCCAUUCUAGCAAAACUCUGCACCUUCAUUUUUUGUCAAGCCAGUUGUGUCACUACUACAUUGAACCAUUCUAACCUUGAUACUUUGACAUUUAAGAUCCUGAUUCUUCAUAGAUUUCUCCACACAUUCAUGCCCAUUCUUUAACACUCUUACAGUUCAUUCAAGCCCUUUAGUUCAUUUAGUUAAUGGAAAAAUCGUUCAAAAUGUCCCUCACUUUUUGUAAAAUGACUUUUUUGGUCCAUCACUUUUAAAAGUGUAAUUUUACAUCCCUUAUAAAUUCACAUUGGUCAAAUUUCAUCCCUACAUAGGUUUCCGACUAGUUUUUGAUCGGAAUUCAUCAUGUACCUGCAUGCAAUCAUUUUUUAGGAGGCAAAAUUGUCAAAUCAAAAUUUACAUAAUCCAUCUAUAGUCCUUCAUAUUUCACAAAAUGAAUUGUUUCGUCUCUCAUAUUUUACAAAAUAAAUUUUUUCAUCCCUCACAUUUCACAAAAUAAAUUUUUUCAUCCUUCAUUGACCAUGUGUAUGAAUAGUUUUCUUUCUAAAUCCAUGUAUAUAUUUAUUUGAUUUUACCUGAACAGUAUGAAUAAUAUAUAAUCUAUCUCUAUUUGAUUGCACAUAAAUAGACUAAUUGUAGUUGUACAUAUGCUAUUGAAUAGAUAUAUUUAUGGGUUUAAAUCUAACAAUAUUAUUUUAUAUCCAUAUAUAUAUAUAUUUGAUUUUAUCAUGUGAAUCUAUUCAAUAUUUCUACUCAUUUAUUGAGUUGUGUAAUAAGGCUAUGUAAUUAAUCGAUCCUAACUCGAAUUCUAUAGUCAUGCUAAUAAAUUAUAGUUUAAAUCUGAAAUAUUUACUAGCUACAUUUAACACUAAUAAUUGAAUUUCUUACCAUGUGAUUAUCUUAAAAUUUGAAAGUGUUAAUCACUUAAUUCUUUUUGUUAUACUUUUUCUUUUUUUAUUUUUUCUAUCCAAAUUUAAUUCGAUAUAAAUAAUUAAUAAUGUUUAGGAUUAAUUGCCUUCUUUGUUUUCAAUUUUCAAGUAAAAGAAAAUGAAUAUGAGUGAAAAACUAAUAAUUUUUUUAACCCCUAUAUAUAUCUAUUUUAAUUUCACUUGAAUAGUAUGUUUAGACAAAAUCAAAUAAAGAUCUAUUACAUGCUAUUUGUAUCAUUUAAGAGAAAUCAAAUAGAUAUACAUGAGUUUUAAAAAAAGUUAUUCGUACACAUAAUCAAUGAGGGAUGAAAAAAUUAUUUUAUAAAAUGUGAGGGACGAAACAAUUCAUUUUGUGAAAUGUGAGGGAUGAAAUACUUCAUUUUGUGAAAUGUAAGAAACUAUGGAUAGGAUUAUGUAAAUUUUAAUUUGACAAUUUUGCCAUUCAAAAAUGAUCACGUGCAAGACACGUGAUGGAUUCUGACCAAAAUCUAGUUGAAAACUUAGAUAGUAACCAAAUUUGACCAAUAUAAAUUUGUAAGGGACGUAAAAGUCACUUUUAAAAAUGAGGGAAAAGUCAUUUUGCAAGAUGUGAGAGAUGUUUUGAAUGAUUUUUCCUUAGUUAAUUGUAGUACCCCAAAAAGUAUCAUAGACAAAUAAUAAUUGUAGACAGUAUGAUAUAAUUUUUGUACUUCAUCAAAUAGAGUUUCUAGAAAUAUUAGAUAAAAGUAUCAUAAUUAUUAUUAAAUAGUUACAAAGGAAGCUAGACAAAAUAUUAACAAUUAAUGAAUGAGAGAACUAACUAUUAGAACUUAGAAUCACAUUUAAUAUGUUUUAUCUACAAGAGCAUAAAAUUGGACACUUGUUGUUCUAUGUUGUUAGGCCCGAAAAUAACCAAUGAGACAAUUAAGAAAGCAAGACUGUUUGGGAGUAGAAGAGAUAAUCAAUUUAAAAAACACAAACGUAACAAAAAGUAAAUAAAAAGGAAAGAAUUGCAAACCAAUUAACUACACAGCUCCUCUUGAGCUUGUAAAUUAAUUCAACCAAUCUAUUUCAAAUUGAUGAAUUACAAUCACUCUUGUGUACAAAAGAAGGUUCACCUCCUCCUUGCCCCGAACUCCACUCGGUCAAGUUAGAACGUUUUACUAUCCCUCAGGACAACCCUCACAGAGCUACACUCAUGAAAUAUUCACUCACAAAUGAAAAGCUUACAAUGAACCUCACACCACUCAAACUACAAAUCUUUUUUGAAGAGUAUUUUCUCACUAAAAUCACUCUAGAUCUUUUGUAUCUUCAGUGUGUCAAAAUUGUUUGAAAUAUCUGACCAACCACUAUUUAUAUAGGAUUAAGAAAGUGCCUCAUUAAUGCUUUCAAUAGAUAGAAAGUAGCUGAAGAAUCAACUAACCGUUGGAGUGUCGGACGUCCGAUAGCCUUGUUUUAUUCGUCCGAUAGCAGGCAGUGAGUUUAAGAGAUUUUCUUCAAUUCUUUUGGACGUCCGAUGCAAGCUUUUUGUGCGCCUGACAGCAAACAAAGAGAUUUGAAAAAUUAUCUUGUUUCUAUCUGACGUCCGAUAGAGACAUAUUCAGCGUCCGAUAGUUUCGUCGACUUCGAAAGAUCCUAUCGAACGUCUAAAACAUGCGUCCGAAGUUGUGCAAUGAUUAUCGGACGUCCGGUACUGUCUUCUUGAGCGUCCGACAGAUUCAACAUACUCUGUCUUUUUCAAAUGUGCUUAAUUUUUGAAUCUGAUUUGUUUCAUUUAUGAAAAAACCUUUGAGAAGAUGUUAGCAACAUCCAUUUAUUUUGUAAUCAUCAAAAGCUAGGGACCAAGGUCAACAUUCUCCCCCUUUUUGAUGAUAACAAAACAAUGAAUGAAAGAAGAAAAAAAAUGAGCAUAUAAGCAUAAGCUCCCCCUCAUACAAUGCAUCUAAACUUAUGAAUACAGAAUAACUCCCUCUUACACAUAGCAUCCAUUUCUCCCCCUUUUAGUCAUCAUAAGAUGAGAGUGAAAAUAUCAUACCGUAAUUCAGCAACAAUAACAGAAAAUCCAAUAUUGCAAACAAAGACAGAGAAAUGAUACAAGAAUUCAGUAAUCACCAACAUACCAAUAUAUCAAAGCAAAUCAUCAUUAGAUCAGAAUUGUUCUUUUCUCUCCCUUUUUGACAUCAUAUAAAUUCAGUAAUAUUCAAAAACAUCAAGAAAAAACUCAGUUCUAAGCAUUAGAAACUUCAAAAAAGAAUUAUAGAAAGGCAUUAUGAACAAGAAUCUCAUCAAUCUUACCAAUAUCUCUUACUUGUUAGAGUUAGCAUCAUAUCUAACUAUCCACAUGCAUUUCGUGUUUCUUUUCAUGUUUUUCCUCACAUAACAAUCACUUUUCAUGUGAUCUUUUUGACAACAAAAAUUACACAUAACCAAAGAGUUAUUCACAUGAACGGGUUUAAUAAAUCUGACUUGCCUUUUCCUAUGGAUAGCAAACUCAUUUGCAUUUUGAUUCAGUCUUAUCUGAUAAGUGCCAAAUUGAGGUUUUCAUUUAUUAUUUUGAAAACAGUCUUGUUUUUUAUAUUGGAGCAACUCAUUUAAAUUAUCCAUUUUUCUUUUCAAAUCACCUUGUUCCUUUUUUAACAUUUCACAAAAUCUUGUUUUUCUAUCAAGCUCAAAAUGUAAAACAGUCUCACUCUUUUUUAAGAAAUAACUUUCAGUUUUCAGCUUUUUAUUUUCUUGAAAAAGACGUGCAUUGUCCUGAAGAAAAAAGUCAAUUUUAUGUUUUAAUUCCUUAUUUCUAUCAUAAGAUUCUUUCAAACUAUCAUGCAAUUUUAUAAUGAAAGAUUUAAAAUCAUCAUCAGUUUCAUCAUCACUUUCAAAUUGAGAGUUAGAAGAUGUAACCUCAUCAUUUCCAAUGGUCAUAAAAGCUAAUUGAGCAGAUUCUUUUUCAUCUUCAACUUCACCAUCGGAAUUGCAUUCAUUCCAUAUGAACUGAAAGUUGUUGAAUCUUGAUUUUCUUCCUUCAUUCUUCUUCAUCAUUGGACACUUACAUGCGUAAUGUCCAAGUUGGCCGCAUUCACAGCACUGAUCAGUGUGUUUUUUGUUGAAUUCUAGCUUCCAUUUGUUUCUCGAGUUGUGGAACUGAUUUGGGAAUGAAUUCCUAGGUCCACUUUUUUUAAAUCUCCUUUUGUUGAGUAUUCGUUUGAAACUUCUUGUGAUGAGUGCAAUAUCACUGUCAUCACCUUCUAUGUCAUCUCCAUCUAAGGAGACUGUAUCAUCUUCAUCUUGUGAGGUUUUUAGAGCAAUAUUCUUUCGCGCUUUUGCAUCCUCUUUCUCUUGCAUCUUAGUCUUAAGUUUCACCUCAUAAGAGAUUAGAGAAUUAAUAAGAGAUUCAAUAGUCAUAGUAUUCAAAUCUUUAGCCUCCUCAAUAGCAGUCACUUUAUUUUCCUAAUCAUUGGACAAGGCAUUCAGGAUUUUUCUAUUUUUCUCAUCUAGAGAAUAUUCUUUUUCCAGCACCUCUAAAUCUUUAAUAACAUCAUUGAAUCUAUAGUACAUCUCAUCAAUGUUUUCAUGAGGUUCCAUCUUGAACGAUUUAUACUUGGUAACCAGAAUGGACAUCUUUUGUUCUCUAAUAUUCUCACUACCUUUAUGAAUUUCUCUCAGUUUGUCCCAAAUUUCCUUGGCUGACUUGCAGCCUUUAACUCUAACAGAUUCGUUUGAAUCUAAAGCACAAUAUAACACAUUCAUGAAUUUUGCAUUUAAGGUGAGAUGAGCUCUAUCCACAGCAGUCAGUUCACUUCUUAUUUGUUGUCUAGAUGUAUGAGUAUUUUCAUCUAUAACAGAGGCAUCAUAUGGACAUUCACUAAUAAUAAAUUACAAUUCGAUAUCAAUAGAUUGCAAAAAGAUAAUCAUUCUUUCUUUCCAACUCACAUAAUAUGACCCAUUAAAUAUAGGUGGUCUAAUGACAGAAUGUCCUUCAAAAAACAUAGCAUUGUUGGUUGUCAUCUUUACUCCAAACCAAUUGAGCUUAAUCUCUAGGAGACCAAACUCUGAUACCAAUUGUUAGGUCCGAAAACAACCAAUGAGACAAUUAAGAAAGCAAGACUGCUUGGGAGUAGAAGAGAAAAUCAAUUUAAAGAACACAAACGUAACAAAAAGUAAAUAAAAAAGAAAGAAUUGCAAACCAAUUAACUACACAACUCCUCUUGAGCUUGUAGAUUAAUUCAAUCAAACUAUUUCAAGUUGAUGAAUUACAAUCACUCUUGUGUACAAAGAAAGGUUCACCUCCUCCUUAUCCCGAACUCCACUCGGUCAAGUUAGGACGUUUUACUAUCCCUCAGGACAACUCUCACAGAGCUACACUCAUGAAGUAUUCACUCACAAAUGAAAAGCUUACAAUGAACCUCACACCACUAAAACUACAAAUUUUCUUUGAAAAGUAUUUUCUCACUAAAAUCACUCUAGGUCUUUUGUAUCUUCAGUGUGUCAAAGUUGUUUGAAGUAUCUGACCAACCACUAUUUAUAUAGGAUCAAGAAAGUGCCUCAUUAAUGCUUUCAACGGAUAAAAAGUAGCUGAAGAGUCAACUAACUGUUGGAGUGUCGGACAUCCGAUAGCCCUGUUUUAUACGUCCGACAGCAGGCAGUGAGUUUAAGAGAUUUUCUUCAAUUCUUUUGGACGUCCGGUGCAAGCUUUUUGUGCGUCCGACAGCAAACAAAGAGAUUUGAGAAAUCAUCUUGUUUCUAUCAUAUGUCCGAUAGAGACAUAUUCAGCGUUCGAUAGUUUCGUCGACUUCGAAGAUCCUAUCGGACGUCCGAAGCAUGCAUCUGAAGUUGUGCAAUGCUUGAGCGUCCGACAGGUUCAGCAUACUCUGUCUUUUUCAAACGUGCUUAAUCUUUGAACCUAAUUUGUUUCAUUUCUGAAAAAACUUUUGAGGAGAUGUUAGCAACAUCCAUUUAUUUUGUAAUCAUCAAAAGUUAGGGACCAAAAUCAACAUAUGUAAUCGAUAACUCGAAGUUAAAACUUUGAGCAUGUUUUAGAUUAAGCAAUAAUUAGGAAUGGUUUCUAAUUCUAGAUGAUUUAACUAAUGAGUCACUGUCAAAAUUAAGUGAUAAAUUAUACUGCCCUUACUUCUACCUUUAUGCCACUCCUAGCUCCCACCUGCCACUCCUACUCUUCUCUAUUGCCCUCUUCUCUCUCUUUCCUACUCUUGUCCCUUCUCCACCCCUUCUCAUUUUCCUAUGCCCUCAACAACCUCCUAUUUCUCUUCAGCUGACAGCCCCAUCACCCCUCCUUUCACCUACAACCUAAUUUUCCCUCAUUUUUGAUGACUAGAUUUAGUCCAAAUGAACAUAAGUUAUGGCUAUUAAUUAAUUAAUGAAAGAAAUAUGUCGAUCUAUACAUAUUUUAUGCCUUUUUUAAUUAAACUAAUCCCUACGUCAUCUUCAAAGCUUAAUUCAAUUGGCAUAAAUAUUAAUCAUAUAACCAAAAAAUUCUUGUUUUAGUAAUGUGGAGUUUAGACGUAAAAACUAUGAUAGAAAAAGUGAGGAGCAAAAUAAUAAUUUUGUUAAUGUAUCAAAUUGAAUAUUAUUUGUUUCAGAAAAGAUUAGAAUUUAGAUGUAUUUGAUAAGUUUUUCUUUUCCUUUUAUGAAAUAAAUAUAGUUUAGGAGCUCAUUUGUAAUAUUCAGUUUAAAGAAAGAUAUUUACUUAAUGGGGACAUAUCAUAAUCAGUUCAAAACUAUUUUCUUUUUAAAAAAUCGAUUUGAGCAUUGUUCGAGAAGUUAGGCAGAUGAUUUCUUUCUAAUAUAUAUCAAUAGAUGUGGAUAUAUGAUAUGGGGUUUAAAAUCAAGAAUUGUGAUAGAGUAAAGUUAAAAAUCAAAUAAGUUUACUCAUAUAGUGUUCUAUGUAUUUUUGUCAAGGUUUGCAAAUCAUGCUUAUUAUUUUGAAUAUUAGUUGUUUCAAAAACAAUAAAAGUUUUGAUGUAUUUUUUUCAAUUUAUAAACUAAAGUCUAUGAUCAAAUUUGAGAACACUCAGGAUCAAUGAAAGAAAGACAUAUUGUUAAACAUGGACAAAUCAUACUGAGUACAAAAAUAUUUUAAUUAGAAAAUUAUGAGAUUUAGAGCAUCAUUUGAGUCAUCGAGUUGAAAUAUUUAUCUUUCUAUAAUAAAAAUGAUAUCAAUAUGUGAAAAUUUGAUAAAUUGGUUAAUGUAGUUUGCUUUAUAUUUUGUUAUAUAUAGUUAAUAAUCAUGAUUGCCAAAUUCAAUGAAGGCAUGUUAUUUUGUGUUUAUUUUGAUAAUGUUCAGCAAAUCUAUGUAGAGAUUACUAUGUUAUAAAAUAGGAAUAUAUAUUUUCUUUUUAGACUUCUAUCUUUUAUAAUUUUAAGCAGUAUAUUAAUUUUACGUAAAUUUUUAAGCAGGUAUAGAUGUAUACCAUGUAAUCUAAAUUCAAAUUUGAAAUUCAUUUUUCCCUUGGGUGACGUACAUCUACACUUGUUAGUGUAAAACAUCAUUUACAUUGGCAGUGUAUAAAAACAUAAUCCAUUGAUUUUUCUCGGUCAAAAGUUUAUAUUAAGUAAUAGUAUCACAUUUAAGUAGGAUUACAAUAUGAUGGGUAGGAUUAUUCUUUUUCUAUUUUAAAUUUGAAAACUUUCCAAUUUGAAGUGAUUUAUUUAUGUUGUUAUCCAUUCAAAGUGUUUAAAAGCACUUAUUAUGAAUAAAAUAAUUCAAAAUUCUACAAAGAGCUUUGAUGAGAGUUCUAGUCUAAAAAUCCCUCCUGCAAUGCACCAAUAUGUACAGAUUGUAUGUGGAGCAAUUUUGACGGCAACAUAUUAUAACACUCAAAGAUUGAAGGCGCGCGCAAACGAGCAAGGAAACACUAGCAGCUUCAAUGAAUUAACAGUUGGAACUUCCCCACUUUGGAUGUGCCCAAUAGUUGACUGCUCAUGGUUAGCAAAACCUUUGUAAUCUUGAGAUUACAAAAACCUCAUCCCAAUGGUGUUGCCUUAGAAGACGGUGGAAUACGGCCUCAAAUAUCCUCGAAUUUCCUUGUCAAUCUUUUUCACAUUCAUCCUUUUCAUAAAUUAUCCUUUUGAACCCAAUUUCAUUGUUUGGUUCCCAUUUGCGAUUCCAUAGUAUGGAUUUAACCAAUUUGCAUCUCGCAAUGCUCCAACUUAACAUUUUUGCAAAUGUUGCUGGUCAAUGGAAAACUUGGCUCUGUAAAAACCAAAAAGGUGUCUGAUUGAAUCAGUUCAUUCCGCUUGUCAUUAGUUUUUGAAAGGGGAAGGAUCGAUGCCAAGAUCAGUUUGUCGCAAAGUUGAAUGUUUCUUGAUGCAUGGGAGAAUUUAAUACUUGGCCUUUCAUGUUUUUCUUGAUGUAGUCGCCAAAUUUAUUUGUGCUAAAAUAUGCCUAAAAGAAUUACAAUCAUAACGUAGACAAGAAAAUAAAUAUAGUGAUCAGAAGUUCUUACAGAUGUGCCCAAGCCUCACCUAAGAGGACUGAAAUUGCUUUUCGACCAACUACUACACUAAGCGAAAAUGAACGGAAGAAGACAAGAAAAUGAAUUAAUGUGAUAAAGAAACUUAAAAAGAAAUAAUUUUGAAUGGCAAUCAAAUAUACAAAAUGUAACUGACUUGUCGAACCAUUUUGGUAAGCAUUCGCUUGAAACUUCCACUAAUUAAAAUAAGAACCUCUACAGGUAGCCAAAAAAAAAAAAAGAUCAUAUACAUCUAGAAUUGAUUCGAAUGAUCAAUUAGAAAUAGCAAGACUAACAAAAAAACCAAAACUCGACUUAAGGUACUUUAUUGAUCAAAGUUAACUAUUAAUUAACUGUGGCAAAAAUGUGAAAUUGUUAUCUUGCUUGUUUGGUUGAUGGCCAUGUUUUCCCAACUUCUUUGAUCCUUCAACAAUAUUGAUUUUCUCAGGUCCAAGUUUGGUGGAUCAGUUUUGCCUAUUUGAUCUUUCAGUUUUGCCUAUCAAUAUGUGAAAAAUUGAUAAAUUGGUUAAUGUAGUUUGCUUUAUAUUUUGUGUAAUAUAUAGUUGAAAAUCAUGAUCGCCCAAAUUCAAAGAUCGCAUGUUAUUUUGUGUUUAUUUUUGAUGAUGUUCUGCAAAUCUAUGUAUAAAUUACUAUGUUACAAAAUAGGAUAUAUAUAUAUAUAUAUAUAUAUAUAUAUAUAUAUAUAUUUUUUUUUUUUUCUUUUUAGACUUCUAUCUUUAACAAUUUUAAGCAGCAUAUUAAUUUUACGUAAAUUUUUAAGCGGAUGUAGAUGUGCCCCAACUUCCAUGCAAAUUUGAUCUUUAUCUGUCAAAAAAGUUUUGCCUAUUUGGUCUUUAUCUUGGAAAAAAGUUUUGUUGGAAUAAAAAUCAAGGGAAAAUUUGACCCUUGAUUGUUCCAUUUCCUGUGAAUAUUAGAUUUUAAAGCCGUAGACAAGUCAAGCAUUAAGGCAGCAACGGGGACCAGCUGGUGUAAGGAAUCUGGAUAUAGACCUCGAUUUGUUUUCGGUUUUCGGUGUUGGCAAACGUAACUCUUAAGCUAAACCCAAAUUUCGUAGUGAUUCAUUUUUAUGUUCUAUCCACCCAGAAUUUAGUAGGGAAUUAUUGGUAAGAAAAUAGGUAAAUACAAUGAAGGGAUGGCGAAGAGUUGAGCAGUAAUUUUGAUUUUGCGAUCACGUAAAAAUUAGCAGUGCUAAAGGGACUCUUUUUACGUAAUAUUGCAAAAACCCGCGACAAUGGGUGACCGUGAAUUUGAAGAACACAGUGCACUAAUGAUUUGUCUCCCUAAAACAUACCACCUUUUUUAGAACCCAAAAAAGAAAAAGAAAAAGACAAGGAAUUGCUUGUUCUUUUGUUCUCUUUUUUUUUUGUGUAUAUAUAAAAUUCACAAGAAGCCUUUUCUCAAGUAGGCUUGCCCUGUUUGGGAACUGCACACAUAUUGUAAUACAUAUUUUUAGCUUUAUUUGCAGAAACCACUUAUGAAAAGUUACAACAGGAUUGGGACGCAGACGAGAAGUUGUACAAAUACAGGGAACAAAUCAAAAGGGUGACAAAAUAUCAGCCCAUAGACGAUAGGGAGUUCAUGUUGAUUGAUACUUGAUGGUGAUCAUUAGUGGCGACAAUAAUCUUUGUAGAGGCAUGGCCUGUUUUGAGUAUUACCCCCACCCAUCUGAAUGCAGUCCUUGUAGUAUUUUUCUCCGCAAAUUGGCCCUUUCUGUAAUGCCCCGUAAACAGUACUUCCUCCAGAAGCAAGAAGAUUGCCAAACUGAGAAUCGACAAGGAAUUCUUGGCCGUCGGCUACAACAGUACUGCCGACCGUGGAAUCGCCCCAAUCCCAGCUAACGCUAGCAUUGACACUUCGAAUACUAGUUGCGCUGAGGAGAACUGUCGUGGUAAGCAGCAGCCAUGCCACCGCUGGGAAGAUGCACAGGCUCUUUGAUGCUGAUUUCUCCAUCUCUCCCUGAUAUCUCUUGCUCUCUUGGAGACCUGAACAGCUUUCUCUAUUUGUACUAAUAGACCUCGUCAGCUUUGUUAUCUUCCCAGUUCUCAAGAUUCUUUUUUUUUUUUUGUCGUUUCUUUCUUUAAAAAACAAAAAAAAAAGCAAUAAAGUGUUUCAUGAAACAAUUAUAUUUCAGCCAUGCCAUGUUACGUGGGACACUUUCUUCUGCCGACGAUCGUGAUCGCCACCCCAACAUUUACUUCUUACUUCUGUUCGGAAUGAUACUCUCCGUGACUGAUAAAGAGAGUGGUAAGGAGGGAAAGCAUUAAAGGGGAUGAAGAAGAAUGUACAACUUCUACUGCUACAGCAACCUAGUUGAUUGCAGAAUCCAUGGCACAUAUAUAUAUAUAUAUAUAUAUAUAUAUAUAUAUAUAUAUAUAUAUAUAUAUAUGUGAUAAAAUAUAACUAAAAGAAUUACAAUCAUAAUGUAGACAAGAAAAUAAAUAUAGAGAUUGAAAGCUCGUACAGAUGUGCCCAAGCCUCAACUAAGAGGGCUCAAACGGGUUUUUGAGCAACUACACUGUCCUCUCGUUUGGUACAUACAUCGGAAUGUCUCGAAUGAAAAGGUCGUUCCACCUAGAAUGCCUUUCCAGUCAAAAUGAUAUGGAAAAAAAAAUUUUCAUUCCAAUAUUUGUAUUGCAUUUCAAAAUAGAAUGUCUUUCCCAUUUCCAGUACAAUCAAUUUUUACAUGUCAGAAUGGAAUAAAAAUGUGUAUAAAAUAGACUUAAUUACCUUGAAAUUUAUUAUUUAGCAUUACAUAUUUUUACAUUUUUUAUUUAUUUGUGCUGUGCUUUUUGUUACCUCAUACGAGAAACUUUGACUUUUUUUUUUUGGUACAUUAUGAAUAACUUAUGUACUUAUUGAAAAAAUUCCAUUUUAAUAUUUAUUAUUUUGGAAAUAUCAAUAUUUUUUUAUUUUUUUAUUUUAUAUAAUAUUAUAAUUACUAGCUUACACAAAAAAAAAAAAAAAAUCACAUGAAGCUAAACAUUCAUAUUCUCUCUUUAUUAUUUUUUUCAUUGUCUAUGCCAAGUGCAAAAAAAAAAACCUUAUACAUUUGCACAGAAGUUUAAAUGAACAACAUCUUAAAAUUAGCAAAGAGAAAAUAUCUUAAAAAUAACUAGAAUAGUUUGUUAAAAAAAUUAUGGUCAAUUAUCAGUUAUACUAACAAAAAGCCUACUAAUUGGUAAAAGAACGAAGAUACGUAUGAGGAUAAAUUUGACCCCAGUAAUUUUGUACAUUCCAAAAUAAAAUAAAGGUGGAAAAAACUUUCCUUAGAAUAUUGUGAGGGAUGAGUUUCCGAGAAAAAGUUGGAAUGACUUUUUAACUUUUUCAAGAGGAAAGGCCUUUUCAACUCAGAAGGUCUAUACCAAACAUUAAAAUUGAAUGGACAAGUUGAAAAAAACCUUUCCAUUCUAGGCGAUUCCUGUGCACCAAAUGAGGGAUAAUUGAAAAUGAAUAGAAGAAGAAAAGAAAAUGAAUUAAGGUGAUACAAAAACUUAAAAAUAAAUAAUUUUGAAUGACAAUUAAAUACAUAAAAUGUAAGAGAUUUGUCGAACCAUUUUGGCAAGCAAUAUCUUGAAAUUUUCAGUAAUUAAAAUAAGUUCCCAUGCAUCAGAACUCGAUUGAAGGUACUUUAUUGAAAAGUGAGCUAUGAACUAUGACAAAAAUAUGCAAUUAGUAUCUUGCUUGUUUGAUUUAUGGCCAUGCUUUCCCAUCUUGGUCGUCGGCUACAGUAAUGCCGAUCGUGGAAUUGUCCCCAUCCUAGCUAGCGCUACCAUUAACACUUUGAAUACUAGUUGGGCUGAGGAGAGCUGUCGACUGUCGUAGUCAGCAACAGCCAAGCCACCGCUGGGAAGAUGCACAGGCUCUUGCUCUUGGAUGAUGAUCUCUCCAUCUCUCCCUUGCUUUUGAAGACUUGAGUAGCUUUCUCCUUUUGUAUCCACUUUACAUAAUGCAUGAUAAUGAGUUGACAGCUUUAGGUCUUCCUUACGGACUUGGCUCCUUUCCAAUGAAUUCUCUUUACAUUUUCCGCAAUACAUAUAUUUAGAUGCAUCGCACGUAUCUUCAUUUAUUACCAAGAGUAGAAUUAGUUAAACUUAAAAUAAUCAUAUCAUUUCCUAGCAAAUGAAGACACAUCAUGCAUCCAAAUGUAUAUUGCACGAAAUGGAGAAAGAAUCCAUUGGAGAAGAGCCAAACCAUUCAGUUUUUCCAAACCUUUGAUUGGUACUUCACCAUGUUAGGUGGCCCUCAGCUAUCUUAUCUCUCUAGUUUCUUAAAAUGCUUUAUUCAUUUUUUUCAUUUCUUUCUUUAAAAAACUAAAAGAAAGUUGUUUCAUGAUGUAAAGGAACUAAAUCAAAGUUUCAAAAGUUAGGGAAAACACUUCAAACACAUUUCUAUUACAGAUAAAAAAAAAAAAAACUAGAUUCAUUUGAUAAGGACCCCCAUAUAAGAAAAUGAUGGAUCAGCCAUGGCAUGUUACGUGGGACAUUUUCUUCUACGGACGCUCGUGGUCAGGACCCAACAAUUACUUCUUAUUUCUAUUCGGACUGAUAAAGAGUUGAAAAGACUCUUCUUAUUUCCAGCGCAACUAACAAACUUGGGAAUAAGGAAUGCCAAAAUCAGUUCAUCACAUAGUUGAAUGUUUCUUGAUGCAUGGGAGAAUUUAAUACUUGGCCAAGCCAUUACACCGGAUAUAGAUUAACCAGAGCCAAUAUUGAAUCUCUUGGUUGAUCUGAUUCUUUUGUUCUCACUUCUGUUCUAGCUUCAGUUUAGUUCGAGUUUUCAUCUUUUGCACUAACUUUCAUGGAAAUAUAUCUCCAUGUUCUUCAAUAUCUCUUUUAGUUGAUCGAACCUCGAUCUUUCAUUUUAGCCAUUUUCAUUUUUGCUUUGUCAAUUACAGAGACUAUGUCCUGCAAGCCUCCCACUGCAGUCGCCAAAUUUGUUUGUGCUAAGAAAAUAAAUAUGGAGAUGAAAAGUUCGUACAGAUGUGCCCAAGCCUCACCUAAGAGGACUAGAAUUGCUUUUCGACCAGCUAAAGUGACAAUGAAGGGAAGAAGAAAAGAAAAUGAAUUAAGGUGACAGACACAGUUAAAAAGAAAUAAUAAAGCUGACUUGUCGAACCAAUUUGGUAAGCAAUCGCUUGAAACUUUCAAUAAUUGAAAUAAGAUCCUAUACAUAUAGAAUUGAUUCCAAUGAUCAAGUAGAAAUAACAAGACUCAAAAACAAAAAAAAAAAAAAAGAUCAAAACUCGACUGAAGGUACUUUAAUUAACUCGACUGAAGGCUACUGCAGUUAUAACCCUAUCCUCGGUUAGCAAAGAAGCACUAUCGCGCCCCAUUUUUUAAAAUAAAAAAGAAAUGGUGUUUUAAAAAAUAAUUUUUGAUUUUUAUAAAAUAAAUGAAGAAAAAGGCCUAAAAUGGGACAUAUAAAGUGUGACGGUUUGGACCCAAAAUUUAGUCUAAAAAGGGCUUUUUAAGAAAAAUAGGAGUCGUCACUUGGUAUUAAGUUUAAGUGUACCAAAUUAUCCAAAAUAUAUUUUUAAAUGAAAACAAAUAAAACCCUUUUAGACGACUCCAAAUCUUUAAAAAUAAGAUUAAAAAAAUUUGGAAGUCACGGUUGAAGUAAGGGAAUGCAGAGAUUUGAUAUGGUCAAACCUUAGGCACCCUUUCAAUCUAACCAAGGUUAGUUGCGAGAUUUAGUUAAAAAUUUUCCUAGUCUAACCUAUAAAACUUAUCACAUUUGGAUAUUUUUAUAUGGAUGCAAAUCUAGACCUAAAAGAUAUCGGGAGGGUCGAAAUGUCUCUUCAAAAUUUAAUUAGUGCAAGUCACAUUAAUUGUGAAAUUCAAAAAUGAUUCUUUGAAAAAGUCACGAAUAUGCAAAAGAUGAGAUUUGAAAAAAAAAUAUAUAUAUAUAUAUAAUAUAUAGAUAAAUAUACAUGACCUAAAAGAGAGCAAUACAACAUAACGGGUACGGAAAACUAAAAUUCGUGACAUAAUUUUCCUUCUCAUAGAGGGGGAAGAGCGUGCUACGGUUAAAAAAUCAUACUCGUUCAUUUCCCAUAUUUGAAAGGUGAUUCUUCUAACUUACGCAAACAAAUGGACUAACCUAUUUUUAAUUUCCUAAAAUAAGAUGCAAUUAUAAAUGAUAUGAUCUAAACAUCUAGAGAGUAAGAGAAUAAUAGUAGAAAAAAUAUCAUACAAAUUAAAAUAACUUAGAAAUAGGAAAAAUGCAUGAAAUGCAAUAAGUGUCACAUAAGGUAUGAACCUAAUGCAAAAUCGGUCUAAAGGAUCUAACAUUGAACUAACCUAUUUCUACAAGUUCUCACUAGCAUUGGACUAGUGAGAAAUCGAGAAGAAAGGCCACGACUAACAUUGGACUAGUGUGGUGACGUUAUACAUUUAUUAUAAAUAAAUGAAGCAUGUAAAGUAUAAUUAAAGCAAAUAAAUACAUAAAGCACUUGGAACACAUAAUACAUAGGUAUAAUAUCUAGAUGCAAAACCCUAGAAAAAGCAAAUAAAUACAUAAAUGCACAAGCACACAAGCAUGUAAGUGAAUAAAAACUAACUAUUAUAUUAAGAGCCAUAACUACAAUCUAGAAAGGAAAUUUUUGGAAAUAAUAAACCUAUCUAUUACAUUUAUCUAAUUAAUUAUAUUUUGGCAAAAAUAAAAUCUAUCUAUUACAUGGCCUAACUAAAUACAAUUCUUGGGCACCUGUCUAUUACAACUUGGCAUUUAAAUGCCUCCUAAAUAAUUAUCAAAAAUUAAAUAAAACUAAUUAAAACUUAAAGUGAAUAAAAUGAGUAAAUAAAGGAUAAAGCACUCAAGACAUGCAAUCACACAUAAAACACAUAGGAGCACAUAAAAGAACUAAAGUAGUGGCCAAAUAAAGCAAAGUUUGUCCUAUUUAUACUCCAAAAUCAACAAAAUAGUCAAGGCACCAAUUUAAUUAACAAUUCAAAAGAAAAUGUAAUUAUUCCAAAAAAAUAUGAAUAAAUAUAAAAUCCCUAAAAUUCACCAAUUAAAUACAUCUAAAUGAAGCAUGAUUAACAAUUAAAGAAGAUAAACAAAUUAUACUUAAGGAAUCAAAACUAUUAGGGAUCCAAUUAUAAAAAUUGAAAAGCUAUUGGGAUUAAAUUAUUAUUAUUUAAAAAAUUAGGGGUCAAAAUUGAAUAAAAGAUAAAGAUUAGGGAUCAAAUUGACAUUAAAGUAAGGACCUAAUUGAAAUAAAUCCAAAGUUUUUGAUAGCCAUAGUGAAAUUACUUAAAAGAUCAGGGACUUAAUUGCACAUAUGUUCUCUGAUUUCCCAAGGCAGAAGGCCUUUGGGCUAUCUUAUUGCUUUUUCUGGGCCGUAACCUCCUUGGCUCAAAGGAAAACCCGAAAAGAAAAGAUGGACUAAUCCAUUUAUUUGACUAAAACAAGUGGAGCCAAAAACGUUGGGUUUUGGCUCCAGAACCCCAGUGCAAACCCAAACAAAAAAUAAGUCUCGGCCUAAUUUUUUUAUUCUAUAACACAUUUCAUUAAACAUUUAUGGCCCAAAUCGGAUCAAAUCUAACAAAACAAAACAAGAAAAAUCGGAGGAAAAAUAGAAAAAAGAGAAAUUAAGAACAUUCCGACGGUUUGAAUUUUCUGGCGAGUCGACCUACUGAAAUCUGAAAAAAUUCUGGCCAAAGUGGCCGGAAUCCUGCUGGAACCCCAUUUUUCAAGUUUAAGCACGGAUCUUUACAUAUACACGAAGCUCAUGUCAUUUUGGACCAAAAUCAAUAUCCAACAAGGCCUAAAAACCGUGUGAUUCUAGAAGAAAUGUGGAUCUAAGUUCUUGAACAUGAACUUUAAUAAACCCCAUCAAAUCUUUUGCAUUAAUGUCGAAUAGGGUAAGGAAAGGUCAUAGAAAUACCUGGGGAUGAUUUUUGGACAAGAUUGAAGUCGGUAAAGUGCGAAGGAAUACGAUUUGUUAAAUCUCCAAGAAAUUUGCAGCAGCACCAGUGGAGUUGAGGCAGCGAGUUUGUGGCCAAACACGAUGGACUUCCGGUCAUUCUUUCCACGAGGUUUCUAAACAAAAGUUACUCUCCUGAUUCCGAAGAUUGCGCGAAGUCGAUAUCUCCUCAAAGGGAGCUGUUUUGAAAGUGGAAAUUGGGUCACAACAGGGCUAAAAAGUCAGCCUGCUCUGCAAAAAAAUUCCAGCAACUUUUCUCUCUUUUUUCUCUUUUUCUCUCUUUCUUUCUUUCUGCCGCCCUCUCUUACUGUUUUCUCCACCCUACAGCUACGUUCUCAACUAUUUAAAUGGAACAAAAGCUUGGGGAAAAAUGCGAAUUUGAUGCCUCCAAAUUUCCAACUGCAUUUUCGUGCUUGUUGCUUUGGUUCUGCUAGAAGGAGGAGGAUAUAACGCGCUAGGAUUUUUUUUUUUUAGGAAAACUGCAUUUUUUAAUUAUUCAUUUUUAUCAUACUUUUGCUUUCUUUCUUUUCUUUUCCCUUUUGAUUUUCCUACAAAAACAAUUAAAUAAAAAUCAAACAAGGUAAAAAAAUGACUUUUCUUAGGAAAAAUGAAAAUAAAAUAAAACAAAAUGAAAUAAAGAAGAUAAUAAAAUAUUGGGGUCUAUAAGCACAAUGGACUCGAAACAUGUUUCAUGAAAUUCUUUUAUGGUCAAAAUCAGUUUUCUAUACAUUGUGCUAAUGCUGCAACACUUGCUAAAGUUUAAGCCAAGCGUAUAUGACAGGCCAGACAUAUUGCACUGAGACAUAUUUAUGCGAAGAACUUGAAUAGAGUCAAACUUUGUAAAGUCUAGUCAAAAUUUGAGUGAUCAUUCAACGAAAGGAUUAUCAAGAGAUUUAGUGUACAAAAUAUCAAGAGGGAUGGAAUUGAAAACCCGUAAACAUUAAUCACUCAUAAAGGAAACUCAAUUUAACGUUAGAUACAAUGUCUAAUCUUGAAUUCAAUGAGUCAAAAUGAAUCAUUCUGGUGAUUGUAGCAUUAUGCUAAAUUCAAGAGAGUGCAAAAUACAGCCACUAGAAUAAGGGAUGGUCGAAUAUGUAACUCUCAACGUACGGAUUUUAAAAAAGUGCUUGAACAGGCAGGGCCACUAUGUGAAUGUGAAACUUGGGCAAUUCACAAAACUUUAAGGGUUCAAAUCUUGUCUAUCUUUUCUUACGGACUUGAUAUAUAGAACUUUUCACUAAUGCAGUAGAGUCAAUAAAUUAAUAUCUAUGUGGGCGGCGUUAAUGUUUUGUCUCCCAGAAACAUUUAGUUACCACCUUUUUUAGAACCCCAAAAAAGAAAAAAAGACAAUGGAAUUGCUUUUUCUUUUUUUUUUGUGCAUAUAUAAAAUUCACAAGAAGCCUUUUCUCAAGUUUGGGAACUGCACACAAAUAGAGCUAGCUUUAAGUUUCUUUAAACGAAGUCGAUUUGUAAUCCAUAUUUUUAGCUUUAUUUGUUGAAACCACUUAUGAAAAGUUGCAACAGGAUUGGGACGCAGACGAGAAGUUGUACAAAUACAGGGAACAAAUCAAAAGGGUGAUAAAAUAUCAGCACAUAGACGAUAGGGAGUUUAUGUUGAUAGAUACUUGAUGGUGAUCACGGGGGACUCUGCCUGUUACAAAAAUUUCCGAAGCUGCAUGGCCUGGUUUUAAGAUUACCCCCGCCACUCUCAAGGCAUCUCCUGUAGAAUGGACCACUGCAAAUUGGCUUUCGUCCCCGUUCUAUGGGGUAAGUAAUACUCCUCCCUCCAGAAGCAAGAACAUUGCCAAACUGAGAAUCCAUAAGGAAUUCUUGAUCGUCGGCUACAACAGUACUGCCGACCGUGGAAUCGCCCCAAUCCCAGCUAACGCUGGCAUUGACACUUUGAAUACUAGUUGCGCUGAGGAGAAGUGUCGUGGUAAGCUGCAGCCAUGCCACCACUGGGAAGAUGCAGAGGCUCUUUGAUGCUGAUUUCUCCAUCUCUCCCUGCUGUCUCUUGCUCUCUUGGAGACCUGAAUAGCUUUCUCCUUUUGUACCUACUUUACAUAAUGCAAGAUAAUGAACAUAUAUGGUUGUAGUUGGCACUGAGUUGACGACUUUAGGUCUUCCUUUC
rnacentral:lncRNA from 1 species